rnacentral:rRNA from 1 species
CAGUCGCCGCGGUAAUACGGAGGAUGCAAGCGUUGUCCGGAAUCAUUGGGCGUAAAGGGUCCUGAGGUGGUUUGCUUAGUCCAGUGUGAAAGUUCAGGGCUUACCCUUGAAAAUGCGGUGGAAACUAGCAGGCUAGAGUACGGUGGGGGCAGAGGGAAUUCCCGAUGUAGCGGUGAAAUGCAUAGAUAUCGGGAAGAACACCGAUGGCGAAGGCACUCUGCUGGGCCGAAACUGACACUGAAAGACGAAAGCCAGGGGAGCGAAUGGGAUUAGAUACCCCCGUAGUCCCUGUCUCUUAUAC